rnacentral:rRNA from 1 species
UACGGGGGGAGGCAAGCGUUGUUCGGAUUUACUGGGCGUAAAGGGCGCGUAGGCGGCCAGCGCAAGUCAGUUGUGAAAUCUCCGGGCUUAACUCGGAACGGUCAACUGAUACUGCGCGGCUAGAGUGCAGGAAGGGGCAACUGGAAUUCUCGGUGUAGCGGUGAAAUGCGUAGAUAUCGAGAGGAACACCUGCGGCGAAGGCGGGUUGCUGGGCUGACACUGACGCUGAUGCGCGAAAGCCAGGGGAGCGAACGGG